ACCAAACUUGUUUAUGAUCAAAAGCAAGUAUCUAGACGGAAAUUUUGUAAAAAUUUUGUACCUGUGUAUCUGUAUUUUACUUAUAAAUGGACUUAGGUUUUCUUCCAGUUAACCAGAGGUGGAUUUAGGGGAAAUCCCUUUUGUGAAAAAAAUUUGGUUAAUUAUAUUGGGAAUCACUGAAGCGUGACGGGAGCAAACUCCCUCUUAGGCAGCCAGUGGGCCCCCGCUUAUGAAAAUGUCUUGAUCUGCCACUGUUAAAAUUAAAUACAGUCUGCAGUUAAAAGUUUUUAAAACAUUUAUUAGACUCAUAAACUAUCCUGGAUUUUUACCAAACUUGGACAGAAGCAUCUUACAAUCAAAAGAUAGUAUCAAAAGGAAUAUUUUUAUUGAUGUUUUCCUCAUUUUUGUUGAGCCUGGGAUUAAGAUCAAAAGUAGGUGAGAAACUGUGUUCCUAGGAGCCCUUACAAAAUUUUUUAUUUUCAUAUCUGUGAUAUUUGUAAUUGUUUUACCUCUCCUGGUUGAUGGGCCAAUAUGAGUAAUUUAACCAUCACUUUGUGUCCAUUGUUAUGCUACUUCCCACUUGAAUCUUGUUUAAUAAGGAUGUGACCCAAUUGAACCUGUCUUUUUAGGUGUAAUUUGGUAUGGAAAAGUAUAGCAACCAAAGCCAUUUCUUGAUUGUGAUAAACCAAAUGUAAUUUUAUCUGAAUCUAACAAUCUUAAUCUAUUCAUCAAUUUUUAGAUUUCGAGUUUUAUUAACAAUUCCAUAUAUUGCGCUGUUGUCAUACAUUUGUAGCAAUGAUGCCACAUACUGGUAAGCAACAAUAUACCUGCUGAAUAACUGUUGAAAUCUCCCUCUCAGAAAAAGACUUUCAAAAUAAAUUCCCUACAAAUCAGAAUAAUUUAUUAAAGCGGUUUAUGAACAAAAUUCAAUUUUGUUUCAACAAAGCCUGGCUGCCAAAGGUAACUGUGGAUACUAUAUAUAAGGGUACAUUGUAUGAUUUGGAAAUAUCAAUUUCUUUGGUAAAUCCCAACCAAAGUGUAAAUUUUGUGCAUCCAUGUAUAAAUGAAUGAAACACCUGAGUGAAAUAUAUAUGUUUUUAUUAGCUUUCAUCAGGUGGUGAAAUAUCCAAGGGAGGGAUACAGGAUACUUAAAUUCUCUGAUGGUUUUUUUAAUGUUAUUUUUUAAUAGUUGUUAUUUAUAUUUUUGUUGACUGUAAAAUUGGUCAUAUUUAGAAAAUAUUUAGAUCUGCAAUCAGUCCUUCAGACAAUCUCUUUAGUUUUGAGACUUAGCAGUCAAUUGUCAGGUGCACAACUUGGAACAAUUGUCUCAUACUGUAUUAAACCUGUGUGUGCCAAGAAAGACAAUUAUAUUUGUUGACAUGUUUUUUAUUACAAAUUGUAUUGCAAAAAUUGCAAUUUGUUGGAUUUUGAAAAAUAAAAACUCACAAUUAAAAGUUUUAUGGCAUUAUAUGACUUUUUACGCAACAUUUCCCGAAAUCACAAUUAGUUAAUCUAAAGUUUUUGUACCUUGAUCGACAAUCAUAAUAAUUAAC
rnacentral:lncRNA from 1 species